rnacentral:rRNA from 1 species
AGCUCCAAUAGCGUAUAUUAAAGUUGUUGCAGUUAAAAAGCUCGUAGUUGGAUUUGGGACUGGAGUCGCUCGGUCGGCCGUGAGGUCUGUUACUGAGCGGCUCUGUCAUUACAUUUCUCAGAGACCUGUCGUGUACUUAACUGUGCGCGGCAUGGGAUUUGGGACGUUUACUUUGAAAAAAUUAGAGUGUUCAAAGCAGGCUUUUCAAGCCCGAAUACAUGAGCAUGGAAUAAUGGAAUAGGACCGCGGUUCUAUUUUGUUGGUUUCUACGACCGCAGUAAUGAUUAAGAGGGACAAUUGGGGGCAUCCGUAUUUCGUUGUCAGAGGUGAAAUUCUUGGAUUUACGAAAGACGAACAACUGCUAAAGCAUUUGCCAAGAGUGUUUUCA